GAUGACUUAGAAAAGCAAAACAAAGGGGCAGAACCAGUUCCCACUUGGACUGUGGCUUGUUUGCUCUGCUUAUCUGAAGUCAGAGCUAACAAUGCUCAUCAAACCAAAAGACCUCAAGUUUCUCCUGUGCCACUGGCUCCUGGACAGAGCAGUAUCACCUUCUGGAACUGGCUGGUGUCAGCAUAUGGCUCCUAGACACCUGUCUGGCCGUGCGUCUCUCAACUGUGACCCUUGACCCUCAGAACAGAUCAGAUCAUUUGCUGGGAUGGUCUUUUGCAGCUAGGGUGGUGGAGGGCUGGAAACACCGGAGAGCAACGCCACCCACUCCCUUCUCUACUGUAAGCUGCCCUAUCUGUCACCAGUCAGCCAGAGCAGGACCAGGAGUUCUGCCGUUCUGCCUGAGGCCUGGCUGUUGACACAUGGCUCCCGCCUCUGGAGCAAGAGGCUGGAAGAGAAAUGUCACCAUCGACCCUGCAGACACUGGACGCACACAGCCUUCAGUGUGCAAGGCAGAUGCAGAGCAGGCGAUGUCCUCAUGUGAAACAAGGCUGCCCGCAUGCCACAGUCACUCAAGGUCAUUUCCCCACGCCUCUGCGGCUCAGGCACUGCUUAAUUCCCACCAUGGGCGCUGUCUCAGCCGUUGAUCAAGUUACCUGCCGGUGACUUCAGUAAGCUUAGUCCAUUCGGGUGCUGAAGGCCUGAAUGUUGACUCUAAGAAGAAAAAAAACAAAAAA
rnacentral:lncRNA from 1 species